GAUGAAGAACGUAGCGAAAUGCGAUAAGUAAUGUGAAUUGCAGAAUCCAGUGAAUCAUCGAAUCUUUGAACGCACAUUGCGCCCGCCAGCAUUCUGGCGGGCAUGCCUGUUCGAGCGUCAUUUCAACCCUCGACCUCCCUUUGGGGAAGUCGGCGUUGGGGACCGGCAGCACACCGCCGGCCCUGAAAUGGAGUGGCGGCCCGUCCGCGGCGACCUCUGCGUAGUAAUCCAACUCGCACCGGAACCCCGACGCGGCCACGCCGUAAAACACCCAACUUCUGAACGUUGACCUCGAAUCAGGUAGGACUUCCCGCUGAACUUAAGCAUAUCAAUAAGCAGAGGA
rnacentral:misc_RNA from 1 species